UGUGUAAUGUCAUAUGUGAUUCAUUACAUCC
rnacentral:piRNA from 1 species